rnacentral:rRNA from 1 species
UCCAGACUCCUACGGGAGGCAGCAGUCGGGAAUAUUGCGCAAUGGAGGAAACUCUGACGCAGUGACGCCGCGUGCAGGAAGAAGGUUUUCGGAUUGUAAACUGCUUUAGACAGGGAAGAAACAAGACAGUACCUGUAGAAUAAGCUCCGGCUAACUACGUGCCAGCAGCCGCGGUAAUACGUAGGGAGCGAGCGUUAUCCGGAUUUAUUGGGUGUAAAGGGUGCGUAGGCGGCUUCUUAAGUCUGUAGUCUAAGCCCGGAGCUUAACUCCGGUUCGCUACAGAAACUGAUUAGCUUGAGUAUGGUAGAGGCAAGUGGAAUUUCUAGUGUAGCGGUUAAAUGCGUAGAUAUUAGAAGGAACACCAGUGGCGAAGGCGACUUGCUGGGCCAUUACUGACGCUGAGGCACGAAAGCGUGGGGAGCAAAUAGGAUUAGAUACCCGAGUA